GGAAGAGGAGGCAAGAGGUAAAAUAACCAGGUACCUGGUUUGUAGUGUACCUAUUGUGCUGUUUGUAGCACAAAGACAAGAGUGCAUGUGUGCACAUGUGUGUCUGUGAGAGAGAGGAGAAGCUGACUUUGGGAGAGCGGAGGGGCUGUCCUUUCCUACAGGCAUUCAUCUAGUCUCUGUUUUGUUUCAGUUUGGAGGAAUCCCAGAGCAGUGGCUUUGUUCCUUACUUUUUCAGGAUAGACCAGGGAAAUAUCAAGUCCCAGAGAACUGCUGCAUCCAGCACAUGCCACCCAGGUGGUGGGUUAGAAAGGGCGGAAUGAAGGGGGAAGACAGAGAGAAUGGAGAUGCCACUAUCCUGCACAACAGUGAAGUAAAAGUUAUAGGAAAUAAAGAAGUAACCUUUUCUGGUACCUCAAUGCAUUGGACAUAGUUUUCAAAUCACUAUGACAUGUGUGUGAAUUCUUCUGAGUUCUGUAAGGCUUUGUCCCCAGCUUUUGCCACAGGAAAGCUUCUUUGCAUGACUCCAUCCCCUAUGCCCGUCCUUCUGGCAUCCUCGC
rnacentral:lncRNA from 1 species